GGCGCGAGCGGGAACCAGGGCUGCCUGCGGCGCUUGCGGACCAGCUGGAGUUCCGGGUGGGCGUGGGCUUGGCGGGCCCCGCACUCGGAGCAGCCGGCCGGCCCUGCCAGCCCUGGGCAAUGAGGGGCUUAGCACCCGGCCCAGCGGCUGCGGAGGGUGUACUGGGUCCCCCCGCAGUGCCAGCCCACCAGCGCUGCGCUCGAUUUCUCCCCGGGCCUUAGCUGCCUUCCUGUGGGGCAGGGCUCGGGACCUGCAGCCCGCCAUGCCUAAGCCUCCCACCCCCUCCGUGGGCUCCUGUGCGGCCCGAGCCUCCUCCAUCCCUGCUCUGAGGCGCCCAGUCCCAGCGACCACCCAAGGGCUGAGGAGUGCAGGCACACGGCGCAGGACUGGCAGGCAGCUCCACCUGCAGGCCCGGUGUGGGAUCCACUGGGUGAAGCCAGCUGGGCUCCUGAGUCUUGGAGAACCUUUAAGUCUAGCUCAGGGAUUGUAAAUACACCAAUAGGCAUUCUGUCUCUAGCUCAAGGUUUGUAAACACACCAAUCAGCACCGUGUGUCUAACUCAGGGUUUGUGAAUGCACCAAUCGACACUGUAUCUAGCUACUCUGGUGGGGCCUUGGAGAACCUUUGUGUAGACACUGUAUCUAGCUAAUCUGGUAGGGAGGUGGAGAACCUUUGUGUCUAGCUCAGGGAUUGUAAACGCACCAAUCAGUGCCCUGUCAAAACAGACCACUCGGCUCUACCAAUCAGCAGGACGUGGGUGGGGCCGGAUAAGAGAAUAAAAGCAGUCUGCCCCUAGCCAGCAGUGGCAACCCUUUCGGGUCCCCUUCCACACUGUGGUAGCUUUGUUCUUUCGCUCUUUGCAAUAAAUCGUGCUACUGCUCACUCUUUGGGUCCACACUGCUUUCAUGAGCUGUAACACUCACCGCGAAAGUCUGCAGCUUCGCUCCCGAAGCCAGCGAGACCACGAUACCACCAGGAAGAACGAACAACUCCAGAUGCGCCACCUUAAGAGCUGUAACACUCACCGCGAAGGCCUGCAGCUUCACUUCUGAGCCAGCGAGACGACGAACCCACCAGAAGGAAGAAACUCCGAACACAUCCGAACAUCAGAAGGAACAAACUCCAGACGCGCCACCUUAAGAGCUGUAACACUCAACGCGAGGGUCUGCGGCUUCAUUCUUGAAGUCAGUGAGACCAGGAACCCACCAAUUCCGGACACAGUGACGGGUGCCUGUAAUCCCAUCUACUUGGGAGGCUGAGACAGGAGAAUUGCUUGAACCUGGGAGGCAGAGGUUGCAGCGAGCUGAGAUCGUGCCAUUGCACUCCAGCUUGGGUGACAGAGCGAGACUCCAUCUCAAAAAAAAAAAAAAAAAAGAAAGAAAAGAAAAGAGAAUUAGCCGUGGUCAAUGUGUUUACAACACAGACAUCCCCAGAUGUUGGAAUUUAUUUUUUUAACCCCAGGAAGCCAGUUAUUAACAUGCACCACCAAAGGAGAGGAUAGAGGUAGCUGACAGGGAAGUCUAAGAAGAUACUAAAGGUUAUUACCUUCACUUACUUCAUGUUUUGACCUGGGCUUGGACUCAGCCAGUUGUGACAUCUGUCAUUCAUGGAACAAUCGCCUGAGCUUCAGGUCCCAAGAGAUAGUGGACAGAAGAGCAUGGUGAGGCUUCACUUGGCUUUGAAUAUAGAAUAACCAGGGUGUGAUUGAGCUUUAAAUUUAUCUUUAUCCUAAGAUUGGGCAUUUUCAGCUUCAAACAUGUGCUACCUGACUAGAUGGAAUUCCUUGAGAACUGUAUUAACAUGUUUCAAAGAGUUGAAUUAACAG
rnacentral:lncRNA from 1 species